CCUAAACAGUAACCAUUUUAUUCUAGAAACCCUAGCUAAAAAAAUACUCUCAACGCCGCUCUGUACUACGGCCGAUUUUCAGCCUUGAAAUCCCUUGCCAAACUCCGAUCGCAGCGACGCAGACAAGGAUUUCGCGGCAGUUCUAGUCAGGUACGGGCAUACGGCGCCAGCUGGAGCAUGGCGUGGAGGCGUGCGUGUGGGAGGCUACUGCUGCAGCACUGGAGGCUGAAUGCUGCUAAGGAAGGCUAGGGUUGCGGUGGAUUUGGGCCAUCGGGCUGGGGUUGGAGGAUGGGCAUUAGGCUUAGUGGGUUUGUGUAGUUUAGGUUAAAACGGGUUGGGCCACGUUGGGCCAUGUAUUUGGACUAUUUUUGGACUGUUAUUUUAUUUGGUUUAUUUUACGGGCCCGAGCAAAAAUAGGCUAUUACACCCCUAAUUCAAGUUGGGCAAUUGUAGCCAUUUUAACAUCUAAAAAACAAUAAAUUAUAAAAAUAUAUAUAUUUUUAUGUUAAUGUUAA